AUGAACCAAAACAAAUCUCUCUUCCUUUGGUUAUUGCAAGUAUUUUGUCAUGGUAACAGGAAGCUGAGUAACACAGAGAGCAAGGAUACGCUUGAGUCCAGUGUCAUUAUCCAUUGCAGUCCAGCACUGAGAACCUAUGAGGUUACCAUCAAGUUUCCUUCCUGCUGAACUUAACCAAGUCUGCAGUUGGACAGAGGAGAUGAGGCAAUACAAUUUGCUUCAUAAAAAUUGAUGAUAGUUGUCAUCACCAUCAUCUCUGCAGAGCACUACUUGGCAGUGAUGUUUGUGCUUGGCACAUGGUUAUUGCUUUUGUACAAAGGAUUGCAACUACCAGGAAAGGGGAAGAAUAUGGAGGUGCACACUUCGAAGACCUUACAGGCUUGUCUGCAAGUAGCACACUUCCUUUCCAUCGGGCAGAGUGUGGCCACAGGAUCAGCCAGCGCUAGGAGGCCUCACGGCGAUGUGGUGUCCGUUUGGCAGCACAGCAAGCGCACACAUCUCCAUCACCAUGGAAAAACAGGGUAUGACGAGGCUCCCUUCUUCCUCUGCUUCCUCGCUUCCAUGACAUAAGCAGCAUUUCCUCCGCUUCAUCUCUCUGCCACACUGUUUCAUCUUUGGAGCUGGUCAACCGUGGUCUGACAUUCUCCAUUGUCAGCUAAACCCAGGUGAAGAGGAAAAUGGAAGCAGCAUUUCCAGGCCCACCCAGCGCCCUCUUCUCAGCACUGGAGAUUGAGAAUGGGGUUUGUCCAUGACAGGAAUAUGCUCUCACACUGAGCCACCUCCCCAUAGUGCAUGGUUGGCAAUGUGGAAGGGAAGGCAAGAGGCCUCCCUGAGGAGAAGCUCUUCCGCUGUGUUCACCGGUGAGGUCACAGAAUAACUCAGAACUCACUGACGGGAACGUUGCUCUCUCCAACACUGGUCAGAAAUGUGUUCUAAUUGAUCAGGUGUUGUGGUUUUUCAAGAUAGCGUUUGAGUAGAAGCCUGAGUGAUGAAAAGGAGCCAACCACGUGGAUAUCUGGGGAAGGGUUUUCCAGGCAGAGGGGAUAGCAAGUGAAGGACUCAGAGAUGAGAAACUAAAAGACAAUAUCUGAAUAUUCAGUGAUAUAUACAGUCAACAUUCCCUAUCUUCAGAUUCUGUAUCUAUAUUCACCCAACUAUAGAAUGAAAAUAAAGU